GAUGAACGCUGGCGGCGUGCCUAAUACAUGCAAGUCGAACGAGUUCUCGUUGAUGAUCGGUGCUUGCACCGAGAUUCAACAUGGAACGAGUGGCGGACGGGUGAGUAACACGUGGGUAACCUGCCCUUAAGUGGGGGAUAACAUUUGGAAACAGAUGCUAAUACCGCAUAGAUCCAAGAACCGCAUGGUUCUUGGCUGAAAGAUGGCGUAAGCUAUCGCUUUUGGAUGGACCCGCGGCGUAUUAGCUAGUUGGUGAGGUAACGGCUCACCAAGGCGAUGAUACGUAGCCGAACUGAGAGGGUGAUCGGCCACACUGGGACUGAGACACGGCCCAG
rnacentral:rRNA from 1 species